GUCGUACAGGUCUCCGUAGGUGAACCUGCGGAGGGAUCAUUACACAAAUAUGAAGGCGGGCUGGAACCUCUCGGGGUUACAGCCUUGCUGAAUUAUUCACCCUUGUCUUUUGCGUACUUCUUGUUUCCUUGGUGGGUUCGCCCACCACUAGGACAAACAUAAACCUUUUGUAAUUGCAAUCAGCGUCAGUAACAAAUUAAUAAUUACAACUUUCAACAACGGAUCUCUUGGUUCUGGCAUCGAUGAAGAACGCAGCGAAAUGCGAUAAGUAGUGUGAAUUGCAGAAUUCAGUGAAUCAUCGAAUCUUUGAACGCACAUUGCGCCCUUUGGUAUUCCAAAGGGCAUGCCUGUUCGAGCGUCAUUUGUACCCUCAAGCUUUGCUUGGUGUUGGGCGUCUUGUCUCUAGCUUUGCUGGAGACUCGCCUCAAAGUAAUUGGCAGCCGGCCUACUGGUUUCGGAGCGCAGCACAAGUCGCACUCUCUAUCAGCAAAGGUCUAGCAUCCAUUAUGCCUUUUUUUUCAACUUUUGACCUCGGAUCAGGUANGGAUACCCGCUGAACUUAAGCAUAUC
rnacentral:rRNA from 1 species